AUGCUGCUGGCACCCGCUCCAAGCGCCCGCUCCAUCGCCAUGGCAACCAAGAGCCCGAAUACUUGUCCACAUACUUUAGGAACCUCAUUAAAUCAGGCAGCAGGACAGCAGCUGUGGGCUCAAUGUGUUAUGGUGACAGCCAGGGAUUCAGUUUAUGAUGCUCAGUUUGGCUGCCCCUGCCUUACUCCCUGUGCAAGGAGCUCCGCUGUCCCCAGGCUUGUCUCGGCCAUGGAACCAGUCCCUUGUCCAUCACUGAGCCAGCCCAGCUCUGCUUUACUGGCUGCUCCUCCCUGUGUGACCUGGGGAUGCUCAGGCAAAGUCCAGGAGCUGGGAAUCCCCAGGGGAAAUUGCAUCUUAAAUCACAAAAAAUCCAUGGAAACGAUGCAGGACCAAUUCACAUCUGCUUUUCCAGAGUGAAGAUCAGGCUGGAAAUACCCCUGAAGUAAGAAAACAGGAACAGUUUGAAACCAUAAGCGCUAUUGCUGCCAUGGUUUCGGUUGUCAGAGAAGCAGCAUUAGGGGAAUGGAGGGGGUACCUGAGGAAAAAAAUAUACCCAGACUGCUGGGAAACUCAAAAUAUGAGAGUGUGCAGAAAAUAAAAAAUCUACAACCAUCGCAGAGAAAUUCAGUUUGUGUUUGAAUGUGUCCAGUGGUUGGUUCUCACCGAUACUCAUUAAAAUAUGAGGAUCAGUGGCCUAUUCUUUCCAACACCAGCAUUUUGCUGCCAUUUAGGUAUUGAAAGACAAAAGCAGAACCCUUAUAAUAUUAGAUAAUUAGAUUUUCUUGACUUCUAGGCAGGGAGUGUUUGCUGUUGUAUCCCUCUCAGUGCGUAAGACAGACAAAUCAGCUGUGAAAGUGUUUCUUUCUGGCUUGGAGAAAUCACACAGAUGAAGGAGCAGAAGUUUUAAAUUAUCCUCAUGUAAAACAAUUCUUGAGUUGGGGUAGACUUUUUUAAAUGUUGCAGGACCUUUACAAAUCCCCAUGAAUCAGUGCAUUUGGAAUCUUAUGGAACAGGUUCAAAAACUGUCAAAAAGGUCUAUUCAAUAUUGAAUAUGCUUGCACUGUGAAUAGCAGAGAGGAAAAUCCAAUGUCUGCCAAAGGAAUGUAAAAAGAACUGAUAAAACAAGCAGAAAUCGGUUCUUUCAACUCCACAAGGUUUUGUUUCUUUUUUCUUUUUCUUUUUCUUUUUUUAUUUUAAGUAAAAAAGACAUAAACACAAAAGCUGCAGUUGACAGUGUCUCUUUGACAGCACUUUUGUAGCCAUUUAAGCAAAACAAUGCAAAGCAGCUUUCUGGAGACCACUGGCAGAACAUACUGUAGCUUUCAAACUUCACACAGGCUGCUGAGAAAUGAAAUGUUUGACUGAGAAGCUGAUGUGGGUUUGGCAACAUUGCUUAAUUGAUAGUGUGAAAAGAUAGAGGAUUCUGCUUCCACCAUCUGCAACAGUAACGGGGACCAGCUCUUUGUCUGACAGCAUCUGUAGCCUUUCUCCCACCUCUGCCUCACCAAAACAGGGGAAUUGCAAGGAAGGAGUGCAGCACGUGCACCUGGGAGGAUCAAAGAGUGUGGAUUUCCUUUCAGGUUUAAUUACCGAUGUGAGGCUCCUCUUUGGUCUUGCCUUAUUCCUGUUGGCAGAAAGGUUCUUUGGAACUGGAGUUGGCUGUGCUGCGUUGGCCCUUCUGAGGCUCACAGGUCGGUGUAAACCCCAGCUGAGAGGGGUGAGGGGCUUUAAGGUAGGACUUCUGAAUGUAGGACUUCCAGGGCCACUUGUGCAUUUGGGAAUGCGAUUGGGAUCUCCUCUAUUUACAAAUUAAAAAUCUUUUCCAAGCCACUCAUGGCUCUCAUACCAAUCCUUGCUCCUCUGCUCUCUCCUUCUCCUUUGAGAGAGAUGAAUUUCUUGACUUUCCUUGAUGGACUAGAGCGUGGCCUGUUUAUUCCAAUAGCCUGUCUCUGGCAAUGGCCACUGCAGGGAAAAUGCACGAAGUAUCACCAUGGCCAGCUUAUGGGCAAGCCAGACCAGUGCAGAGCACUUCUGCCUAGUACUCAUAAAUCGUGAGCUAAAUUAAGCCCUAUGACAGAAAGUUUUCAAUCACUCAGAAAAAAACCCAACAUUUAUUUUCAGGUAACAAGAGUGGUCUCUUGUGCAAUUUUCCACACUUUUUAAUCUCCUUUCCUGUUUUCCUUUUUCAUAUGGAAAGGGUCCCAUCUAGCCCUGAUGUGCCAGAGCUUAAGCGAAGACCAAGUUUCCCAAUUAAAUUACUUGAGUACCUGUCAGACUUAGGAAUAAAG
rnacentral:lncRNA from 13 species